UUACGGGCAUAUCACGUCGAAACACCGGUUCCCGCACGAUCACAAGUUAAGCAACAUCGAGCCUGGUCAAUUCUUAGAUGGGGGACCGUUUGGGAAAACCAGCUGCUGUAA